GGCUGGUCCGAUGGUAGUGGGUUAUCAGAACUUAUUAACAUUAGUAUCGCUAAAGUUGGUAUUCAGUCCCCUACUGCUAAAUUUGACUGGCUUAAA
rnacentral:Y_RNA from 1 species